GGGGCGUAGCUCAGAUUGGUAGAGCACUCGCUUAGCAUGCGAGAGGUACGGGGAUCAAUACCGCGCGCCUCCA
rnacentral:tRNA from 1 species